rnacentral:lncRNA from 1 species
GAAAAACCGAACUUGUCUUUCCUUUCCCUUGGCCCCCACUCCCACACACGCAGCCCUCCUCGGCCUCCUCCAACCCCCGCUAAGAAUAAAACGAGGACUCAGCAGCUGCAUGUGGCCUUCAGGGAAGACAAGACAGAGGCCUGAGAGUGCGGGAAGGCGGGCGAUCUGUCCUGGUCCUGCUGUCCUUCCCCUCUGGGCUCCACGAGGGCACCUUUGCCAAGGAUGCUGCCCCCCUGCUGCACUCCACACUGAGCACCCACCGGGCUGCUGGCCAGGCAGCCGAGAAUCAGCAAAGAAACCCCGCCCUGGUGCUGACAUUCCAGUGGGGGAGACAGGCGAUUUACAAGGAGAUAAAUAGUCACAGAGUAUCCUUGCAGGUGGAGACAGGCGCUGGGCAGAAAAGCAGAGUGGGAGAAGGCGUGACUGGGGCCGGGGGAGACCAAUGCCUCACUGAUAGGAUCAGGAGGCCUCUCUGGGGAGGUGACUCCUGAGCACAGUGGACAUUGAACAUGGGGUGGGAGCCAGGCCUGGAGACAUCCGGGGGAGAAUGAGUCCAAGAAGAGGGGCCUGCAAGCAAGUGAUGGGAAAUGCAGGUGGUGAGAUAGCCAGGGGCAGACUUGUCACAGUGCUGGGAGAGCACUGUCAUGGCCACCACCUUACAGACUAAGAAACAGAGGGCCCAGGAGGUUAAGAGGCUUGCCAAGACCAGCAGCCAGGAUUUGCUAGCUGAAGCCAGGCUGUCUGACUCAGAGAGAUUACUUCCCGCUAUCUCCCUAUCAUAGGACACACAUAGAUGCAUGACCUUUAUCCAAACCCUGGGGCAGCUGUGGGUGGAAAUUCAGAAGCUUCCAAUUUAAGAAUGCUCACACAGUGCAGUAUGGUAUGGUCCGUGACACCCCCGGGGGAUCUGGGACAGCACACAACAAUUAAAUAUAUUAACAUAGCAGGACACAAUUAGACAUAUUCAUAUUUCUGCAGCAAAACAUACUAAUCUUCACACUCAGAGGACCAAAAGAAGAAUUGUUAACAGCCUCAGUUCAGGUGAAGUUUGCCACCAAAUUCAGGUUAGUUACCAAAAUAACAACAAACAACUUCUGGUUUUCGGAGCCUUUAGGAUUUCCACUAAAGCUUGGGGGGCGCAGCGUUGCAACUUCUGGAAAUGUCAGCUCUGUGAAGACAGGCUGCAGAGAGGCCAGCUGGGAGCACCGUCGCCCGCAUUCGCAUCUUCGCGAGGCCCAGACCAGGAAUCGGCACAAACUUCCUCCUGGGCAAAGGAGCUCCCGGCAGCUCAGGAGCGGCCAGCACCGCGCGGGACAAGCCUGGCAAGAGGCAGUGGCGUCAUCCCCACCCAAGGUCAGGUGCAAACCCGUGGUCCGGCGGCCUCCACUUCUGCCCCAAGCAGCUUAAAGAUUCACUGAGAAUCAAAAUGCAGCAGAGAGGUUUGUUGAGCACCUACUAUGUGCCAGGGGAUUGGGAUACAUCUGUGAAGAAAACAACAAACGCCCUUGUCCUCACUGGAGAGGGAGUCAGACUUGGAUUCAAAAUAUCACAAUGUGCAAAGGUGAUGGGUGCCUGGGGGGCGAACAGCGCAGGGCGAGGGAGACCAGGGUGCCUGGGGAAGGAACUGAGUUUUAAAUAAGGUGUCAAAUUGAGCAGAGUCAAGAAGGAGGAGCCAUCCAGAGAGUCUGCGGGAGAGUGUUCCAGGCAGAGGGCACAGCGAGGGCAAAGACCUGGGGGAGCGAUGUGCCUGGCAACUUCUAGUUCAGCACAGAGGCUGAUGAGACCAGAGCUGAGUGAUCAAAGGGGAGGAAGAGGAGAAAGUGUAGCGGCGGAAUGCGCAGGCAGAAUCACUCGGGGGCUGGUCACACAGGGCUUUGUCUUUCAUUCUGAGCGAGAAAGGGAGAGUUGGAGAGUUUUGAGAAGAGCCCAUCAGGGUGUUGGUUAGAAGAAUCACUCUGGUAUCUGCAGGGCUUGGAGAUCAUCAGACUUGGGGAACCAAGUUGAGCUCUAAGCUUCUGAGUAAAGAGGUCCACUAUGAUCCCAGGAUUGUAAGACAAUAUGUAUGGUUUGCAGAGGAGCUGGGAGGGAGCCUGGAGAGCCCAUGAGGAGGCUGCUGGAGUUCUGGUCUGCAGUAGCCAGAUGGUGGCACUGUGGACAGGGCGUAGGGCAGGAAACCCAGGCACUAUUUCAAAAGUAUAAUCCAGAUAGGAGACAGUGGAUCAGUCUAAGGAAAGCAGCAAAGAUGAGCCAUAAACUUUCUGACCUGGGAAACUGGACUGUGGUGUAUAUUAAUACAACGCCCCAAAUUAAUAAACUGACAUGAACACUCUUUAGAUGACCCACCCUCCAACCUCGUGCUGUGUCAAGUCCGCCUCUUACACAAACCACCGUGCUGGGGAGCUCAGGCUAAGUUUGUUCUGGCUGCGUUUGAAUUCUGGCUGUCUACAGAUGAAAACGUAUGGGGUUGUUAUUUGUUGUGGGGGGUUUUCUUUAAAACCUUUUUUUUUUUUAAGAUUUUAUUUUUUUUCCUUUUUCUCCCCAAAGCCCCCCAGUACAUAGCUGCAUAUUCUUAGUUGCGGGUCCUUCUGGUUGUGCCAUGUGGGAUGUCGCCUCAGCGUGGCUUGAUGAGCAGUGCCAUGACUGCGCCGAGGAUUCGAACUGACGAAACACUGGGCCGUCUGCAGCGGAGCGUGCGGACAUAACCACUCAGCCACGGGGCCAGCCCCCCUUUAAAACCUUUUUUUAAAAGGGGCACCACUCAUUGAGACACACUGGGGUGGCAUCCCACAUGCCACAACUAGAAGGACCCACAACUGAGAAUAUACAACUAUGUGCCAGGGGGCUUUGGGGAGAAAAAGAAAAAAAAUAAAAUCUUUAAAAAAAAAAUCUUUCAAUUGCAUAAAAUUUGCUAUUUUAGCCAUUUUCAAGCAUACCAUUCAGUGGCAUUAAUUGCAUCCACAAAGCUGUGCAUGUAGUGCUUUUUUUUUUAAUUUCAAUAAGCCUCGGUUUUCUCAUCUGUUACGUGGGAAUAAUAACAAAAGCUGCCUUGAGGGCGACUGCAAGGAUUAAACGGGAUAAUCCAAGUGAAACAGCUCAGUGCCCAGCAUAUAACUGACACUCAGCCAAUGUUAGCUGUUUCCUACCUUAUUGCCUCUCUCCUCCUCUGUGUCAUCCCCAGUCACACUGGCCCUCAUGGCACCCUCGUCACCUCUUGCUGGUUGGAGACUCCUCUCCUCCCCCCACAGAGCCACCAGACCCAUCUUCCCAAGGGCAACAUCAGAUCCAGUCCAGCCUCUUGCUCAAAACUCCUCAGGACUCGCCACCAUCGUAAUGAAACUCCAAAAAUAAACAGAUUCUUUCUCAAGCCGGACCCUCACCAUAGUCUUGGUGUUCUCCUUCUGCAGAAAUCAAAUGUGACAGCAGAAGCUCCCUCAGAGCCUGGCCCACACAGCUCGCCUCCAAGUGAGUCUGUCCUUCUGGUUGGCGUGGGUGGACCAGCCAACUUACAGUUCAAAAGUUGGCAUCUCGUAUAACUUUACUACAGAGAAAAGAUGCGCUGGUUGGCAGACAUGAGUCUCUGGAUUGCUUGAAAAUUGUAUUCCUCAUUGGAAAGUGUGAUUUUUAAAGAGAAUUUUUUCACUCCUAAAAGAGGGCAAAGAGAUUACAAGACUGUGGACAGUUGGACAAAGACCAGGAUGAAGGUGAUGCUGGUGGUGAUGUUGAAGAAGAAGAUAAGCGAGGUAAAAUCGGGUCUAGCACUUCUUUCAGACCUACAAGUAUGAAAUAAAGCUGCAGGCAGCAUGAGGGGUUUAGGUAAACAUCGUAGAGACCAAUCUGAUACCCAACCAAAUGUAUGCCUCCCUCCAGUGGUUGGAUGAAUUUCUACACUGGCCGCUUCACCAACUCAGAUCCGCAGCCUCCUGCUUUUGCUGCAAGCCAGCCAGGAGUUGAAAUUUGGCCAUGGAUUUCCAGAGUCUACUGUAUGUCGCUCUUACUUCUUCCCCACAUUGUUCCUGGCCUCGGGCCCCCAAGACCUACACCUUGCUAAAGUGCCCUCUCAUAGGUUUGCAUGACCAAAUAUAUCAAGUCCAAACUUUAAUAUAAAUAAUAAUUUACAUUUGUCCAGUUACCUAAGGUUCACGGUUUGCUUUUGCAUCAAUUAUCUGAUCAGUGGAUAUACCCAUUUUAUGGGUGAGGAGGUUGAGUGGCAGAAAGAUAAAGUGAUUUACUCAAAACCACACAGCUAGUUAGAUGCAGCACUGGAAGCUUUUCCAUCUACACUGCAGCAGACCUUGAAAGGGGGGAAUUAUCUGGUUAAUUUGAAAUACAGAGAAGAAGAAGAGAGGUGUUGAAUUUCAUCCUUUUUUAUAAACACUGCAAGGUGGGAAAGAAACUUAAAUGAGACUCAGUAUAAGUGGAGAGGAUUAUGCUGCCUCUAACCUGACAUGACUUGGGCCCUGAGGGGCUGAUUCAUAUAGGUUCAAUAGUGCUAUGGUCAACGGCUUAUAGGGUAUUGUAGAGUCAAGCUCUGCUACAAAUGGCAGCUGGAGCUAGGAAUUCCAAUGGCCUAGGACAAACACCAGCCUCUCCAUGAGUCAGGCUGGGACACAUUCCCUAAUGAGCUAUCACAUUCCUUACGUAUUCCAGCUCACUUGAAAGGAAGAGAGAGCCUCCUGGCAGGCACCAUGCCAUUCAAAGAAAUUCUGCAGCUAUAGACAUCUCAGAAAACAAGGUGUUGGAGCCAGCCUGGUGGGGUAUUGGUUAAGUUUGCAUGCUCUGCUUCAGUGGCCUUGGGUUCAGGGGUUCAGAUCCUGGGCAUAGACCUACAUACUGUUCAUCAAGCCAUGCUGUGGCAGCAUCUCACAUACAAAAUAGGGGAAGAUUGGCACAGAUGUGAGCUCAGUGACAAUCUUCCUCAGGCAAAAAGAGGGAGACUGGCAACAGAUGUUAGCUCAGAGCCAAUCUUCCUCACCAAAACAAAAGUGCUAAUUGAGCAUAACAAGAUAUUGUUUCCCACUGACCCUGGAGUCAAUCCUUGCAGAUACCAAAAGUUUUCAAAAAAAUGGUGGCCCCCAAAGCUCUCCUUGCUCUACCUUGGUCCAUCUCUGUCCUUCCUCCCCAGGCAAAACCUUAGAAGAGAUUCUUCACAAAAGGAGAUUUAUAAAUAGCCAAUAAAAUAUGAAAAUUUGUGCAAUUUCAUAAGUCAUAUGAAAAUGAAAGUGAAAUCACAAUGUGAUACCACUACACACCAAACAGAAUGGCUAAAAUGACAGGGACACACAAUACCAAGUCUUGGCAAAGAGAUGGUGCUACUGGAACACUCAUACACUGCUGGUGGGAGUGUGAAGUGGUACAACCAUUUUGAAAAACUGUUGGCAUGCACCUUAUGACCCACUCCUAGGUAUACGCCAACAGAAAUGCUGACUUAUGUUAACCAAAAUAUAUGUACAAGAAUGUCAUAGCAAUUUUACUCCUAAUAGCCCCAAACUGAAAGCAACUCCAUGCCCAUCAACAGAAUAGAUAAAUAAAUUGUGGUAUAAUCAUUCAAUGGACUAUGAGAAGGCAGUGUUAAUAACAUUGUUGUGACACCACAAUACAGAUGAAUCUCACAAAGAUAACAUUGAGAGAAAGAGACUAAACACACAGCCCCAAACCUGAAGGACAUAAGGUGAGCUGGAGCUGUCUUGUUUGGGCUUGUGGGAGCCGCUUUUUAAAUUUUCAGGAAUUUUUCAGGCUGGUUGCUAAACACAACCACUAUUUAAAAUUAUAUAAACAUACAAUUAAGUAAAUUGUAUUAAAAGCAAAUAUAAUGAAUACUCAAAAUUUAUUCCUAAUUUACAAAAUUUUACUACACGUAAAAUUUACAUUUUUACAACAUGUUACUAUUAUCCAUGUUUUCGAAGUUAUUUACGCCUACUGUAUCUGUGAGGUCCAACGUCUUUGUUGUCUGACUUUUGUCUUAACUCCUUAACAUAAAUGAAAAUUUAAAUAACAUUCGUAUCAGAAGUACAUUCAUUCAUUAAGGACAUGAGCACCUCCUUUGCUGAACUGGGUAAUAAACAGCUAUUUAUUCAUAGUCUGAUUUUGCCAAAUCAUUCUUGAAUUGCAACUAAAGUUUGGUUACACUAUAAGAGUUCCACAAUAACAAAAAUGAAAGCAUUCUAUGAGAAUCAAUUGUCCAUACAGAAUAUACAGCAAAGAGUAUUGUAUAUUUUGUUAUUACUUGUAAAGUGUGGACAUGACUUCCUGGACAAAAGUCCCUUAAGAGCCCAGCAAGGGAAUGAAAACAGUCUCACGUGAAGACAUAUCAUCGUGAAAUCCCAGAAUACUGGGGGAAAAGGGAUGAUCCUAAAUGCAUCCAGAGGAUAAAACAGGAACAAAACCAAGAGCCAGGUCCCCACAGACGAAGGACAGGUCAUGGCAACACAGGGAGCUAGAAGAGAAAAGAGCAACACCUUCGAAAUUCUGAGGGAGAGGAUUUCUAACCUCGAAAUGUGCACCGGACCAUACUAUCAAUAGAUGUUAAAACAGAACAAAGACAUUCUCAGAGAUAAGACGUCUCAGAAAGUUUACUCCCAUGUACCCUUUCUCAGUAAGCUUCUGGAAAAUAUGCUCCCCGCAAACAGGAGUUUUGACUUAGAAAGAGAAAGAUACGGGAUCCAGAAAACAGAGGUGAAGUGAACUCUGGGGUGAUGAUGAAGGGGAUGCAGGGUUCCAGCUGUGACAGCUCCAGGGCCAGCUGGAGCAGGUCAAAAGUUCCAUCUCGUUUUGUAUAACACAUUUCCUAGGGUCCUCUCCCUACUGAUUAUAAGAAACCUGGGACUUGUGUUUGAAUGAUGCUUGGGUCAAAAACUCUUGGGUUUCGUUCAAUCAAAAGAAGUGCAUCUUGGGGCCAGCCCCGUGGCCGAGUGGUUAAGUUCAUGCGCUCUGCUUCGGUGGCCCAGGGUUUCGCCAGUUCGGAUCCUGGGCACGGACAUGGCACUGCUCAUUGAACCAUGCUAAGGCAGCGUCCCACAUGCCACAACUAGAAGGACCCAUAACUAAGAAUAUACAGCUGUGUACCGGGGGACUUUGGGGAGAAAAAGGAA